CCAAUUGCCGUGCUGCUGCUGCUGCUAAAUCAGUCACAGCUCCAAUGAGCUGCGAGCAGCGUCUCUCUUCCAUUACAACGAGAUUCCCCGUCGUGUGAUUUAUAUAUAUGUGUGAUGAUGAUGAUGAAGGAGAGAGAGAGAAAGUUACCUGCAGCUGUAAUUCUAUCUGUGAGACACCCCUCCUCGUGCUGCUGGUGGGGGCAACACGUGGGUGUCUUGAGCUUCGUGGGUCAGUCGAGUUGGUGAAAGCCACCCUCAAGGAAACAGACGAUCCGACUCGUUCACGGGCCCUGCUUGGAAUCAAACUCAGGUCAACAGGUUCAGAGGGCAGUGUGCUAACCCCUGCACCACGCCAUUCCCACCCCAUUAUUAUUGUCAACCUGGGUGCUUCGUCCCCUUUCACACCAGGGGCCAAUUGGUAACUACCCCGCGAGUCUCACCCCAAUGUUGACUCAGCUCGACAACGAAUGACGUCGGCUGCAGAACGUCAACAUGAGCAAUGCGUCGCGAUGCUGCCCACACCCGCAUGCCACUGUGUGCUGUGCUCACCUUAAUAGGUGCUCGCUAACAAUGACUUGCCGGUAUAUCCCACGGUUAAUUGAAAUAGAUGUGUUUUUUUUGCGUGUGUGAUAUUCAAAUGCAGCAAUGUAUACACGACAAUGCAUAUUAAAUCGCGUAAGUUAUUAUCAUCAUACUACGAUGAUGAUGAUAACUUUUGUCAAUCCACUGCUGGACGAACACCUCAUGCCACAUCGGUCGUGGGGUUAAUUGACCAUACUUCACCGCGCUGGUCAGGGCAUCUCGGGGAAGCUGGGAGCUCGCGAUCGCAUCACGUUUAUCUCGCUUUCGAUGUUAGCCGUGGAGUCGAAUUUAGGUGGCCGGGUUCAUCGUGCGGAGCACUGACCACUACACCACUGCGCUACGCCUGAGAAAAACGCAGACUGCAGAUUGUUUUUUGAGAAUCAACGACACUAACUCCGACAAUCCAGCUCUACCCAUCAAUAUGCGUACGCGUGAACAGUAACAGGCAUAUGCAGACGAGCCGUAAUUAAAUCAUCAUCGUCGUCAUCAGCCACCGUCCAUCCACUGCCGGAUUAGAAGCCCCCCCCUCCCCCCGUGCUGUCACCAUCCCUCGUGGUCAGGCGACGACGUCCCAAUCCAUCUCGCGUCUGCGCAUCGGCUGCGUCUCAUCGCUCCAUCCCUGCAGCGGGCAUCCUCUCAGCUCGCCUUUCUUACUUUGGCUGCCAAUCAUGUUGUCGCGCGGCGCUUUCAGAUGCGCUGCUUCUGCGGCCGUCUGGAACGCUCUUCCUUCAGAUCUUAGGAAGCUACUGGAGCUUUGCCCUUUUAACUAAUCUCGAUUGAAAACGGAUUGCUCCAGAACUGCUUUUUAUGUUUUGUUUGAUUGUCAUCCCCCACACCCCCUAUUAGUGCGGUUGGCUACGUACGGUGCGAAAGAAGUUCUACACACAUGCAGACACUCUAUGGGGCCAGGGUUCGGUUUGUAUGGCCACAACGGGUUCACUCUGUGGGGCCAGGGUUCGGUUUGUAUGGCCACAACGGGUUCACUCUAUGUGGCCAGAGUUUGGUUUGUAUGGCCACAAUGGGUUCACUCUGUGGGGCCAGGGUUUGGUUUGGAUGGCCACAAUGGGUUCACUCUGUGGGGCCAGGGUUUGGUUUGCACGGCCACAGUUGCACUACCACCGUGGCAGCUGUGUCUUGAAUGUUUGAUGUGUGCAGCGACCUGGUGGUGGUGUUACGAUGAUCCGGGUUGAUGGUUCCACCACCGGUGUGUUCGAGGAGGAGGAGGAGGUGCGAUGAUGUUUGGAUCUCGAAUGAGGAUGGUGUUUAUUAUUCUGGACGUCCGCGUUGUUCCACUUUUUCCCAGUUGUAGCCCCUCCAACAAUUGUCUUGAUGAUCAAAACUUCUUGGACGUGGCUUUUGGUUUGCUCAUGGCUACAUACAACUGUACCGUAUUGGCAUCCUACUCGGCAGCCAUUGGAAACGUUUUUCAAUUCCUUCCUGUUGUUAAUUUCCACUCACUUUUUUAUCAUGACCCAUUUCAUCAGCAAUGCUGAGGCGACUUCAAAUGUAUGCAUUUGAUCUAUUCAAUGCAAUAAAAAAUCAAGCCUUCUAACAUGGCCGUGAAUAAUUUUGGAUUUUUUUUUACACAGAAAUGAGAUACGUCCAUCGUGAAACGGCGCCUCAAUCAUUAUCCUCUCCAAGAGGGGUGAUUAAACCGACUUGAAGACUUACAGAUCCAUUGCCUUCUUCGAAAUUGUACAUAAUUCAUUUCCAUAAUUCUGACUUAUAUUUGAUGAGGUACAUCUGACAUUGGUGAAUGCUUUCUCCAUUUAAUAUCACAGUACGCCUUGGAUUUUCGAAUACUGUUUCGGAGACAUCUCCUCCCGUUGAUGCCGCGAGGAGCUAUUGAACUACGUCGGAAGAGAGUCGAAGAACGCUCCGAGCAACAUCUCUUCUUCGUAGCACCGACAUUGAGAGCCCAGAGAGAUGGAGCAGCUAAGAGUUGACCGCUCAACCUUACAACCAAGCAGUGCAAAUGUAGACUCCGCAGCUGUUUGGAAGCAGAUCGCGUGCGGUACUCCCACGAAUUCCAAGACGUCUGGCCAGGAUUUAAGAAUCGGCCAAAAUGCCCUCCCGAAGAAGCUAUCUAAAGCCCCCCUCGAGCGGAGGAUCGUCCGGCAGCAGUGGCAUGAGCAAGGCAUUGCAGGGCUGCACUUCGACCGAGCGGAGUUUCGGCGUGGAAGAUAAUGCCAUUGCAAUAUCAAUAGAUUGCAUUUGCAGAUUUGACUAAGACACACUCGUGGCUCGGAAUCACGGCCAGCAUUAUAUCCACUUGACAUUGUAAACUGAAAAUUCAUGUGCGGUCGUUAACAUGGGGUGAAAGGAAAAGUGGAGGGAGGGGGAGGGGUACAAAUAAUAUUAAUGCUAAGAAAUCAAUAUGUGUAUAAUGAUCAGUGGCCUAAGACUUUCAUGAUUAAUUCCUUGCAUUACUUUUAAUUAACCUGCAAUGUGUCCACCAAGAGCGGGAGAUUUUGCCGUGAGGUAGACGGUUCCCGGACAGUGAUAAAUGCUUCCAUUACAAAGUAUCUUGUUGUACAUGCACCGCAAAUCUGUGUGUGUGUAAUUAAAGGGCAUCUGGCCACGCGGUAGUGACUUGUCGCCCAGGGGAAUUGCCAGUGAUGUCAUUAAUAUGUAGACAUUUAUGUCUUAGUGUUGUAACGUUUUGUAAAGAUUGAGCUUCGUGCAUCUGGCUAAUCCUCCUUCGCACCUCUGAUUAGAAGUUCAACAUACAUAUACAUACAGCACAUACAAUCCUCUAUAACGUUACUCUUUGGUUUUAUUCGGUAAAGUCACGUAGGUAAAAUAACAACCUCUAUAACGUUCUGCUAUUAUAUGCGUGGUUGUUAUUUUCUCUGAGACCUUUAGUUUUUUCCACUAAGUGAAAAUACAGUACUCCCAUAAUUGACUCUUCUUUAAAUAGAUAACACAACAUCACCUUUACGACAAAUAGUGGUUGUGGAGAAUAUAAGUUGCGAUUUCUUAUAUAAAUAUAUUCCAAAACGAAGCUAAUGCGUCGAACUCGGACUCAUUUAAGAAUGUGUCCUUGCCUAUAAACAUUUGAUGGUUCACCCAGAAUUGGCUCAAGCAAGACAAUCUGAUGAGGCGCUGAAUGUCAAACCCGUUUGCUUGCCUUGGCUGAAGUUACGUGCCCGCAGAAGGCCGUGUGGCUAUAGUGGAAUGUGUAAAAAAAAACACUCACUUUUAAUAUUUCAUGUGAAUGGACGGAUUUAUGAAGAAGGGCGUCUUGUUUGCUUAUUCUAAUUUGAAUAUAGCCACGGGACUUUGUACUUAGGUUAUUUUAAUGCGACUGCCCCGUGAUCUCAGUGAGACAAUGCUAUAAUUGGCAACAACAACAACCGCCAUUCGCGACGAAGUGGCGGUGACGUCACCACGACGCCUGUGCCAGGCUAUGUGCACGUUGAGGCCACGUGAAGUGUCGAACGCCCACUGGCACGAG